rnacentral:tRNA from 1 species
CCGUCAUUAGCGCAGUCCGGUAGCGCAUCUGGUUUGGGAUCAGAGGGUCAUAGGUUCAAAUCCUAUAUGACGGACAA